GCAGAGACGGCGCGUGCACUUCUGGAGUAGCACAAAGGGCUCUCUAGGCUGCAGGGUAAUCCAAAUAACAGAUCCACAACUGAUAAGUCACAAGAGACAGAGCUGGCCAAAGUUCUAGGCAGGAGUACGACAGUAAAGUAUAGAGAAUAUCGGGGGGGGGGGAUGAAGGCAGUUUUAUCUAAUUUAAUAAACUAUCUUAUCUGGUACCAGGGGAAAGCAGCUCUUACGUAGCUACAGCUGCUACAUGUCUUCAUAUAUCUUUUCUGAAGAGCAUUAAAAGCCGUUCAAGUCCAGCCAGCCACCCACAAGUUACUGCCCCAAACCCACAGAACAGUUGGGGUAUAAGGAACACUUGGAAACAUUACAUGAAUAUAUUUUUUUCCCUGUGACUAAGGGAAAAACUCACUUAUCUAUGUAACAGGGCUUUGAUUUCAGUGGAGGCACACAGCUGGCAGAAAACAGUCGGCAGUGUCUGGGCUGCUUCUGAGACGACUGAAAUUCUGCAUUAUGAAUUGCAGAUUUUACGUUUGUUUUUAUAUUACAGUCAUACUUGUUUAUUACAGAUAUCAUGUUCGUGUUUUCAGGCGCAACUUUUCAGAAGUGACUUUCCAGACUCUGGAACUAUGUGCGGCGUAACAAAACAGACUGAUUUGGUGACAAGAUGUACAAAAGUUUGCCAAGAUAUCUGUGGAUACCAUAAGAAGAUGGGUGAGGAGUUUAUGACUGCCGAUGUGCACAGACCUGUUAACCGCUUAUCUUCUGGUUGCGUGAGGGCCCAAGAACAGCCCAUGUUCCAGGAGCACGGCCACAUGGUGGGGACGUGGCCCGGAUGUCCUCUGCACCGGGUGAGGUGACAAGACACGUGUGGGUGCGCUGAGGCUCUGCCAGGGCUGGGUUUCUUCCAGGUCACAAGCACGAAUCUACCUGAACCCUGGCUCCUCUUGUGCUGCAAGUCAACAAGGCCCCAUAACUUCUACUCUUUCCCCUUCUCGCUUUCUCCCUGUAGAUGCAGCUGUUUGUGGCUCCCUGGUGGGAUGCAGAAAGGGGAAGCAUGGACCCGUGGCCUCCAUGGCCUCUGGCUGAAGGAGGUGCUGAGGUGAGGGCCUUAGGGUAGGGGAACACCAAGGGGAAGGCAAAGGAGCCAGCAUCAGGCUGUGUCACUGCUCGCUCUUCCUAGCAGCUUUCCAUUGAGGCGUGUGGUCUGCGGUGGCUGUGAUAGGAACCCCAGGGAUGGACUUUCCCCACUGACUACACUUCUGGAAAAGUAGAUGUUCACAGCAGAAACACUCUGGGUCUGCAGCAGUGGCGUGCCUCUGUGCCGUGAGUCCUCAGCUCCACAGGCAGGGGAGAUCCAUCUUCAGGCCAUGGUCUCUCCCACCCUUUAGCCUCAGAAGAUGAUUCCCACAAACUUUGAGGGGAAUCCUGCCAAAUCUCCUGCCCCCACCUCAGGGAGAGCUCAGUUCCCCAGAAAGCAAUCUGAAACCUCAUUUAGGAUUUCACUGAGGCCUGCUUGGCAAUAAAAUCCCCCUGUUAUGCUGCA
rnacentral:lncRNA from 1 species